rfam:Salmo salar isolate Sally breed double haploid chromosome ssa10, whole genome shotgun sequence.
UGGCUCAGUUGGUAGAGCAUGGUUUUUGCAACGCCAGGGUUGUGGGUUCGAUUCCCAC